CCCCUAGAUGUUCUGGGCCGCACGCGCGCUACACUGAACAGUUCAACAAGUCUUAACCUUGGCCGAUAGGUCUGGGUAAUCUUUGAACGCUGUUCGUGAUUGGGAUAGACCUUUGCAAUUAUGGGUCUUCAACGAGGAAUUCCUAGUAAACGCAAGUCAUCAGCUUGCAUUGAUUACGUCCCUGCCCUUUGUACACACCGCCCGUCGCACCUACCGAUUGAAUGGUCCGGUGAAAUCUCGGGACGGCGGCUUGUCGCUUGCGUCCGACUGCUGAAACUUGAUUAAACCAUAUCAUUUAGAGGAAGGUGAANUCGUANCA
rnacentral:rRNA from 1 species